CAAGAGACCUUGGGUGCUGUUGGUGUGGAGUUUGCAGGUUAUCCCUGUGUCCGCAUGGAUUUCAUGCUGAAGUUCGAGUUUCCUCCCACUUCUGAACAAUCUGCAGGUUGGGCAUUGUCAAUUUUCCAGAGUGUGUACACAAUUGUUAGAAUCUGUGGAUAGCUGAUGAUGAUAUGGGGAGAAUAAAAGAGGUGCAGGAAGCUCCGCGCAACUGUACCGCCCUUUUGACUGGUUAGCAUGCCGGCCAAACUACGUUUUCCACUGUAUCUCCGUGUGCGUGACAAUAAUAAGCCGAUCCCAAUACAUCUAAAAGGUGCAGUUCAAAGGGUGUUUAAAGAAAGCGAGUGAGUGAGAGCUUUGGAAGGGAUUUCCAGGCCAUAGCAACCAGACAAGGCCAAGGAUUUGCAGAAUCCUCGAGACGCUUGCACAGUGGUGCAGCGGUCGAGUUGCAGAGAUCAGGGUUCAUUCCUGACUACAGGUGCUGUCUGUACGGAAUUUGUACUUCUCUCUGUGACAUCGUUGGGUUUUCUCUGGGUACUCCGGUUUCCUCCCACGUUGCACAGAUGUGCAGGUUGGAAGGUUAAUUGACCUGUAAAAAUUGUCCCUAGUGUGUAGGGUGUGGACUUGGUGGGCCUAGGGGUCUGUUUCCAUGCUGCCUCUCCGAGGUCAGAGUUGGUCAAACAUUGAUUCUCAGAAUGUAGGUGAACAUUCUUGUCUGUAUCAUUUGGUACCAGUCUGAUAAAUAUUCAGAGUGACUAGAUUAACAGUAUGUAAGUACCCAGGAGAGUUGUUUUAGUUUUAGAGAUACAGGCUCUCCGGCCCACCGGGUCGACAUAAACCAGCAACCACCCAGAUCAAUAUCAAUGAAUAUUGGUAUCUCUAACUUCCAGUAACCCUUGCAUCUCUUCCCUCUCCGUCACUCCCCCACCAAAAUCGUUGUACUAGCUUUAAAGUCAUCUUGUUGAAUCUCAUUGGCUGUAACUGGUUUUCACCAAGCCCACAGCUAACAAUGGCCUGUUUCCAUCAUUGCUACUUUUGCAUAUAUUUCAUUCAUUUGUUCUAUAUCUCUCCAUAUUACCGUCUAUAUCUCUUGUUUCCCUUUUUCCUGACUCUCAGUCUGAAGAAGGUCUCGAACCAAAAUGCCACCACCUAUUCUCCAGAGAUGCUGCCUGACCCGUUGAGUUACUCUGGCUUUUUGUGUCGACCUCAUGUACACUAGUUCUGUAUUAUCCCACUCUGGCAUCCACUCCUGACACACUAGGAGCAAGUUACAGAAGCCAACUAGCCUACAAACCCACACGUCUUUGGGAAGUGGGAGGAAACCGGAGCACCCGGAGAAACCCACGUGGUCACAGGGAGAACGUACAAACUAUGGACAGACAGCACCCAUAGUCAGGCUCGAACCCGGAGCUCUGCUGCCAUGAGGCAGUAACUCUACCAUUGCGCCACCAUGCUACCCCAUUUUCUCAAGUGCCCUGUAUGGUUCUCGAUCUUUCACACACCAGCCGAACCCCUAAAUUUUAGUUUAUUUUUGCACAUGUUUCCAAAGUGGAUUCAGUCCGACGGCAGAUAUAUAAUUCAGUUUAUUUUGAAGGCCAGCUGAUAAAAGAAUCUUGUAUUGAAUGAUUUCUCCCUACAAGCACCCGGAAUAGAUUAAAAAAAAAAUCUGAUUUACUUUUUUUCUCUCUGACUUUCUUCUUUUCAUCUUUGAUUCUCGCCCCACAUCAUUAACAUUUGAAAGCGGUGUUGUGACAGAUAGGUUCCCACCUUAUCUCUGCUGAAUGUGAUGGAGCCUAUCUCUUUCUGUGUAUCUUGAUUUGGUGGUAUUGAUGUAUCAUCCUUGGUGGCUUCCGGGUAUUCAACUCACAGGCAGAGGCUCAGGAUGUCAACUCAGAGCAACACGGUGGCGCAGGUGUAGAGUUGCUGCCUUACAGCGUCAGAGACCCAGGUUUAAUCCUAAGUCUGGGUGCUCUCUGUAUGGAGUUUGUACGUUCUUGUGUUGAGCGUGUGGGUUUUCUCCAGGUGCUCUGGUUGCCUUCCACACUAAAGACGCACAGGUUUGUAGGUUAAUUGGCUUUGGUAAAGAUUGUAAAUUGUAUCUAGUGUGUAGGUUUGUCCUAGUGUAUGGGGUUUGCUGGUCGGUGAGGACGGUGGGCCGAAGGGCAUGUUUCCACGCUGUGUCUCUAAACAAAUAAAAAGGGGAGGCAGGGGCUGUUACGGCCAACUUAUAAUUUCCUAACGGGAAAGUGAUGGGCGUUAGAAUUAUCAUCUGGUUUGGCACACGUGGACUGCGGCAAUCUUUGCCUAGCAUAAAAGCAGCUGACAUAUAGAAACAAGGAACUGCAGGUGCUAGCUUACGUAAAAUGUAUAUUAGCAUAUAAAAUCAGGGAUAUAAUGCUGAGGCUUUAUAAAUGGCUGGUCAGAUUCCGUUUGGAGUAUUGUGAGCAGUUUUGGGCCCCAUGUGUAAGGAAGGAUGUGCUGGCAUUGGAGUGGGUCCAGAGGAGGUUUACGAGAAUGAUCCUGGGUAUGAGGAGUGUUUGACAGCACUGGACCUGUACUCGUUGGAGUUUAAAAGGAUGUUUGAUUGAAACUUACCGAUUGGUGAAAGGCCUGGACAGAGUGGAUGUGGAGAGGAUGUUUCCAGUAGUGGGAGAGUCAACGUCCAGUGGGCAUAGCCUCAGAAUAAAGGGACACACCUUUAGAAAGGAGAUGAGGAGGAAUUUCCUAAGUCAGAGGGGUUCUGUGGAAUUCAUUGCCACAGCUGACUGUAGAGACCAAGUCAAUGGAUAUUUUUAAGGCGGAGAUUGACAGAUUCUUGUUUAGUAAGGGUGUCAGGGGUUAUGGGGAGGAGGCCGGAGGAGAAUGGGAUUGAGAGGGGAAAAUGGAUCAGCCACGACUAAAUGGCGGAAUAGACUUGAUGGGCCGAAUGGGCUAAUUCUGCUCCUAUAACACAUGAACAUGACAUAAUUAGUGGAAGUGAAAAGGCUGGGAAUGUCAUUGGGACGAUUGGUUGUUCAAGGGGGUAACACAGCAGGUUCGAAGUGCGUGUAUCUGCAUGUUUUUUAUAACUAAGACUUCCCAAUCCUUUCUGGAGUGGCAAUGCUGAAUAAGCAGUAAUGAGCUCCAAUCAGUUCGCAUACAUUUCCACAUUACCACAAAAUAGGCCAAUUUCAAUGCCCUCUGUCUUCAACAUUGCUCAUUGUAUAGUGAAUUUGCUUGUUAACAUUCAAUGGGUAACAAUGAAUGGAUGUGUCAAUUAAUUUGCAAGAUUCAUGGUUUCUGCUUCCUUAUAAACGUAAACAUAUUGGGUGCAUGUGUUGCAUCAGAAACAGAUCUUCACAUGUCAAGUCUAAUUGGUGAAGGAACAGAUGCCAAAUCUAAUUGGUGCGGAGAGUCAUAGAGUAUUACAUUGCGGAAACGGGUGAGCUUACCCAUGCCAACCAACAUGCCCCAUAGUCAGGAUACCCCGUCUACACUAGCCCCACCUACCUGUGCCUGGCCCAUAACUCUCUAAAGAUUUAAUAGGAACUUGAGGCAGCAACUUUUCCGCACAAAGGGUGCUAGGUAUAUGGAAUGAGCUGCCAAAGGAUGUAGUUGAGGCAGGUACUAUCAUAGUGUUUAGAAAAUAUUUGGAUAGGUACAUGGAUAUGAUAGGUUUAGAGAGGUAUGUGCCAAAUGCUGGCAGGGGGGGGACUAGUGUUGACGGGGUAUUUUGGUCAGCGUGGACAAAUUGGACCGAAGAGCCUGUCUGAAGAAGGGUAUCGGCCCAAAACAUCACCGAUUCCUCCUCUCCAGAGAUGCUGCCUGUCCCGCUGAGUAACUCCAGCCUUUUGUGUCUAUCUUCGGCCUGCUUCUGGCCCAUAUGACUUUGUGAAAGCGAUCUGGUAAAAUGUAGAAACAAGGAAGGAUCUGCAGAUGCUGGUUUAUACUGAAGAUAGACACAAGGUGCUGGAGUAACUCAGCAUGUCAGGCAGCAUCCAUCUCUGGAAAAAAAGGACGGGUGACGUUUCGGGUCGGGACUUUUUCUCAGACUGAAAAUAGAAGGGCUUUUGAGAAGGGGUCAUCAUUGGGUGGUGAGGAUUCUUUCCCAAGGGAAAAAGCAGAGGCUGUGCCACCGGUAGUUUAGUUCCUCAAUUUAUAUUCUGUACCUCUAUUGAUACGCUUAAAUAUCAGGUAUGCAUUUUUUUUUAUCAAUCUGAUCAACUUGUACUGUUCCUUGCUCCCAUCCACAAGCAAUUCAACACAGGUUAAAGAUCAAAAAUGUCUUCCUCUUGUUUUGGCUUUAUUGUAGCCAAGAUAUCAAGAGAGUGUUACUCAGGCACUUCUAACAGAAGAAUAGCACAGUAAAAAUUGAAUAAGAAUGCACUGUGCAGAACGCUAUCUCUUAGUCGCGAUUCAAUCCCUCAGGGAAAUAAAAUGUAAUAUCUCUCCCUUUUGUUCAUUUUUAUUCUGCAGCAGCACAAUAUGUUGAGAAGGUCUUUUCACCUUUGGGUUCAGUCAGGUAAUAAAAUAAAAUUUCAGCCAGGAAAUCCAAAAGGGAAAAGAGUAAUUCAAAGUCUGAAAAAAUGGUGAGAGCACAUCAGGAGACCAUUCAGUCCGUUCAGGUCUGUGCUGGUUCUGUGCAAGAUUUUAGUUUCUUAGAUUAGUUUAGAGCUCGGAAACAGGCCAUUCGGCCAACCAAGUCUGCACCGACCAGCAAACGCCACACACUAACAUUGUCCUACUACGUACUAGGGAAAACAUACAAUUUUACCUACACCAGUUAACCUACAAACCUGUACAUCUUGUCGAAUGUAUCGAAAGGAUCUGCUGAUGCUGGUUUUCACCGAAGAUAGACAUAAAGUGCUGGAGUGACUCAGCGGGUCGGGCAGCAACUCUGGAGAAAGGGGAUAGGUGAUGUUAAAUUAAAUUAAACCUGUUUGUAAUUAAUUAGUUAAUUGACUAAAAGACAUAGCAUGGAAACAGGCCCUUCGGCCCAUCAUUUACACACUGAGCAUCGAUCACCUAUUCUAUGUUAUCCCAUUUUCCCAUCCACACCCUACACACUAGUGGCAAUUCACAGCGGCAAUUCAUAAACCUGCAAGGUUUUGGGAUGCGGGUACUUCAGUAUCUAUAGUCAACCGAGAAUGUUCUGAGUUUUUUUAAACAAAAUAAUGGCAGUAAAUUAACAAACAGACAAUCGAGACUGGUGCUUCAACGUGUGAAGAAGGAGAGCAACAUUGAAUUGUUUGCAUGGGAUAGGCAAAAUUAAGCAGUGCCCAAUAUCCCAGUGCCACAGGGUUGAAGGUUACAAAGCCAAAAAGCAUGGCAACAGGCCCUUUGGAUCAACAGAGAAAAAUAGGUGCAGUAGUAGGCCAUUCAGCCCUCGAGCCAGCACCACCAUUCAAUAUGAUCAUGGCUGAUCAUAUAACAUUAGUACCCAAUUCCUGCUUUUUUUCCCAUAUCCCUUGAUUCCUUUAGCCCUAAGAACUAAAUCUUUAACUUGAAAACAUCCAGUAAAUUGGCCUCCACUGACGUCUGAAGCAGAGAAUUCCACAAAUUCACAACUCUAUGGGUGAAAAAGUUUUUCCUCAUCUCAGUCCUAAAUAGCCUAUCCCUUAUUCUUAAACGGUGGCCCCUGGUUCUGGACUCCUCCAACAUCGGGAACAUUUUACCGGCAUCUAGCCUGUCCAAUCCUUUAAGAAUUUUAUAUGUUUCGAUAAGAUCCCCUCUCAUCUUUCUAAAUUCCAGUGAAUACAAGCCCACUCGACCCAUUCUUUCAUCAUAUGUCAGUCCCGCCAUCCUGGGAAUUAACCUGGUGAACCUACUCUGCACUCCCUCAAUAGCAAUAAUGUCCUUCCUCAAAUUAGGAAACCAAAAUUGUUCAAGCUGAGCGAAGGACACAGUGCUGGAGUAACUCAACAGCUCAGGCAGCAUCUCUGGAGAAUAUGGAUUGGCAUUGUGUCAGGCUGAGACCCUUCUUCAGUCACAUGCCCACUAAGAUGCCCCAUCUAAGCUAUUCCCAUUUGCCCGCAUUUGGCCUAUAUUCCUCCGAUCCUUUCUACCCGUCAGACUGUUUUUAAAAUGUUGUUAUUGCACCUGCCUCAAUUACCUCCUCUGGCAGCUCGUUUCAUACUCCUACCACCCUCUGUGUCAAGUAAAAGGAUGUAAGGACGAGCACCAGUGUAAUUGACCGCAGAUGUUAGUUGAAAUGCAAGGGAUUUAGGAUGGAGGGCUGGUGUAAUAGGGAUGGUGCAACACUUGAAAGCUUAGCGAUUGAUGGAGAGACCAUGCUCUAUGAAUUUCUUAGAAUUGUUCUCAGUCUACCACUGGACAAAUUAAGUUUCAAUAAACUUGCAGGAUAGUUAUAGCACAGGAGGAUGGGAGAAGAUCUCUUUCAGCAGGUUAGAUGGAAUUGAUUUUCAUCAAAAGUAUACUUUAUUCAUUGUAUAUUGUAUAUUGAACAAUAUUGUAAGAAGGGCAUGUUGUUUUUGGGUCAUACAACGUGAAAACAGACCCUUCGGCCCAACGCUCACACCGACCAACAUGUCCCAUCUACACUAGUCCUACAUGCCUGUGUUUGUCCCAUAUUCUUUUAAAUCUCUCUUACCCAUGUACCUAUCUAAAUGUUUCUUAAAUGUUGCAAUAGUCUCUGCUUCAUCUACCUCCUGCACACCCACCACCCAUCCACACACCCACCACCCUUUGUAUAAAAACGUUAUCCCUCUGGUUCCAUUUAAAUUUCUCCCACCUCCCUUUAAAUCUAUGUCCUCUGGUUCUCAAUUCCCCUACUCUGGGCACGAGACUCUGUGCAUCUACCCGAUCUGUUCCUCGCAUUAUUUUGCACACCUCUAUAAGAUUACCCCUCAUCCUCCUGCGCUCCAAGGAAUAGAGCCCUAGCCUGUUCAACCUCUCCCUGUAGCUGAGGCCCUUUGGUCCUUUCUUCUGUCGGACACCUUUCUUCUGUCUUUCCUGAUGGAUCGACGAACCCAUCGAUGAUGCAGUUGAAGCCACCAACCACAGUGAAUGGUAUUUCCAGCAUCUGCUUAUUAAAUGGACAGUACAGCACAAGAACAGGACCUUCGGCCCACAAUGUCUGUGCUGAACAUGAUGCCAAGACCAUAAUUUAUCUACCUGCACAUAAUCCAUAUCCCUCCGUUACCUGCAUAUCCAUGUGUCCAUCCAAAAGUCUCUUAAAUGCACCCCCGGCAGCGUGUUCCAGGCACUCACCACCCUCUGCGUAAAAAAAUUACCCCGCACAUCUCCUUUAAACUUUACCCCUCUUACCUUAAAACUGUGCCCUUUAGUAUUUGAAUGUUUUCCACGCUGGGAAGAAGCCUCUGACAAUCUAUGCUUCUCAUACUUUUAUAUGGUCCUAUCAGGUCUUCCCACAACCUUCAGCGUUCCAUGGAAACCAAUCCAACUCUGGCCAACCUCUCCCUGUAGCUAAUGCUCCCUAAUUCAGGGUCAUGCUGGUAAACCCUUCCCCAGGCCAAGAAUCCUAGAAUAGGCGCAAAAUGCUGGAGUAACUCAGCGAGUCAGGCUGUACCUCUGGAGAAAAUGGAUAGGUGAUGUUUCGGGGCAGAACUCAACCCGAAAACGUUGUUUAGGAUCCCAACCCGAAACGUCGUGUAUUAAUUUUCUCCAGAGAUGCUGCCAUGACUCGCUGAGUUACUCCAGCAUUUUGUGUCUAAAGGGCUUGUCCCACUUGGUGAUUUUUUCGGCAACUGCCGGCAUCAUUGACUGACCUAUCAGGUCACCGAAAAAUUUGCACCAUGAUGCGGCGGUGACGUGGUGUGAUGGCGUAUGACGCGCGGUGUUUUUUCAUGUGUCGCAAUAUUUUUUUGUCGCCGCUGGAUUUUGAAAUGUUCAAAAUCUUUUGGCGACCCUGAUAUGAUGCCGGCAGUCACCGAAAAAAUUGCCAAGUGGGACAGGCCCUUAACCAGCAUUUGUAGUUCCUUUUUAUUGCAAACAAUUCAAGUUUGUCUAAUCUCUCGGAGGUAGACAAAAAUGUUGCGGGUGAGGCAGCAUCUAUGGAACGAAGGAAAUAGGCAACGUUUCAGGCCAAAACCCUUCUUCAGACUUUCUUUAGAUUUUAGACUUUAGACUUUAGAGAUACCGUGCAGAAACAGGCCCUUCAGCCCACUGAGUCCAUGGCCGACCAGCGAUCACACCAUUCACUGGCACUAUCCUGCACCCUAGGAACAAUUUUCAAUAUUUUUACCAUAGCCAAUUCAACUACAAACCUGUAAGUCUUUGGAAUGUGGGAAGGAACCAAAGCACCCAGAGAAAACCCACAAGGUCACCUAGAGAAUGAACAAAAUCCUUACGGACAGCAUCCAUAGUCAGGAUCGAACCCGUGUCUCUGGCAACACAACUCUACCGCUGCACCACUUUCCUUAAAGAUAUGCUCCCACAUCUCUCUUCCUCCUCCCAUUCCUCCUUAUCCGCACAAAUUGGAUUGAACGGGGCUGCCACAGCCCACAUUACAACCCAGGCUGAUUGAGAACUGAUCAUAUCAAUGCAGUAGCUGAGUCCUGUGGAGAGUGUUGAGUUUAAUGAGUCUGGACAGUUUCCAUAUACUUCAUUCCAUCCAUGCAGCCCAGAA